UUCCUCUUAGCUCAGUUGGUAGAGUUAUACACCGCUAAGAAAUCUCUUAAUGACGAGGUCAGUCGUUCAAGUCGGCUAGAGGGAA